rnacentral:lncRNA from 12 species
UUGGGGUUGCCUCGUUCUCUCAACCAAAGCCACCUUCUUGGCAAUCAUGCCAGGAUGGAAAUUGCAGGACCCGGGAGGUCAGAGACCAGGCUGGUCUCCCUUGCCCUUCGUUUCCCUCUCAAAUGCCAGAACUCUCCCGAACCAGUCUGGGUGGCAUCCAGUUUCUGCCAGGCUUUUUUGGCAGCUUGAAGGUAGAGCCAGUUACGAAAGCUGCCAGGGCGAUUCCAGAAGCUAACCCCACCCUGACUCAGCUCCGAGCCCCACAGAUCUGCUAUCUCUCACUUCAAGACAGGCACCGGCAAGCGUCUUCCCAUGGGGUGAUUUCCAACAAGGUGACAAAACUGGAGGUCAAUCACUCCAGCUGUAUUUAG